rnacentral:rRNA from 1 species
GACGAACGCUGGCGGCGUGGAUUAGGCAUGCAAGUCGAACGGUAUCAUCCUUUCGGGGGUGAGAGAGUGGCGAACUGGUGAGUAACACGUAGGUUAUCUACCCUCAAGACGGGGACAACCCAGGGAAACUUGGGCUAAUACCGGAUGUGAGCAACUUUUAGUUGUUUGAAAGGUGGCGUAAGCUGUCGCUUGGGGAUGAGCCUGCGUCCUAUUAGUUAGUUGGUGAGGUAACGGCUCACCUAGGCAAUGAUAGGUAGGCGGCCUUAACGGGUGGUCGCCCACACUGGGAUUGAGAUACGGCCCAGACUCCUACGGGAGGCAGCAGUCGAGAAUAGUCUACAAUGGUCGGAAGACUGAUAGUGCGACGCCGCGUGAACGAUGAAUCCCUUCGGGGUUAAAGUUCUUUUAAUGUGAGCAGUGCUUCUAUAUUAACAGUAUGGGGAAGAGAUAUUAGCAUAUGAAUAAGCAACGGCUAACUCCGUGCCAGCAGCCGCGGUAAUAC